GAAGAGCAGCAAUUCCAGGAACAGAAAAGCGACCACUUUCUGCAAGGAUCCAGUCUGCAGUCCGUAACAUUUGUUCCCUGACCAGGAAACCCAACCACACUGGCCUACUGUUGCCACCAGUUUGGGGGCAACAGCAGCGCAGUGAGGGAACAAGGGUCAUAACAAAGAAGGCGCACCCUGCCUAAUCUUUGGCAGUCUCCCACCCGCUUGCCUGGGAGCAACCCAGCUCCGCUGUUUCCACCAGACUCAAGGAGAUUUGGCAGGUCUCGGCUGUCACCCCAUGGGUCCACCACUCCAGAGUAAAAAAGCCCAUCACCCGGAUGAGAAGCCACAACAGUGGAAAGUCCAGCCAAACCUGGCAGACCUGCUCUGGCUUCGCCUCCAAUGAGAACCCACUGACUGAUGACACCUGCCCGCCAUCAUCCCUACUUCUCACUGGCACGAUAUUCCUCAUCCUAGGGGUCGGACUCUACACUGUUGCCCCCUUCUGACUGGACUUUCCCCCAGAGACUUGCUAUUGUUAUUGUUUACCGGAUGACCCUAGGCUGUUUUACUGCCCUUACUUGUCCACAGGUUUUAUCUGCUGUUGGGCUAGCCAUAAUGGCUCCCUCUAACUAAGGCAUGGGCCCCACUUUUAUUGGCCCUCUGCUCUCUACUCCUAUGGGCAUUUCACUAUGGUUUUCCCAACCCCAGUCAGUCCUGGUCUUCUGCUCUCUGGUGUGUUGUUCCUCCUCACUGCCUUUAGCUUACCCAACAUGGCAAUGGGGGGCAAACACCCCCCCACAAUCAAUCAUGCAUGCCUGUCAGUCUCUUACCCGAUCUUUCAGUCCUCCCCGGGAGCAAUGCUCCACUUAUACAAAAACCUCCUAGCUGUCCUAACAUACCCCCAUAGCCCUUCCCCUUCUUAUAAGCCUGUUGGCCAUGUCAGGAGCUGCCCUAACGCCAUUGGCAUGAAAAUGUCACAGGUUCAGUACCAGGGACUAACUCAACAACUCACGGCCCUGACCCUGCAGCACUAACCUGAUUCGCCAGCUUCAGUGUCCUCCAAAACAGACGUGGACUUGACUGACUCAUAGCUGCACAAGGAGGACUCUGCCUCUUCUUACAGGAAAAAUUUGUUUCUGUGCUCAUGAGUCGAGGGUAGUCCAAGAAACUCUAACCCAAUUGCAGGAAUGAGUAAUUUGCUGGUGGGAGGCACUCCAGCAGGCGACUUCAUGAGAUUCCCUCUCACAACAGUUCCCUUGGUUUGCCCCCCUCAUUGGCCCCCUCCUAUGAUCCUCCUCACAGUAGCAUUUGGUCCUUGUACUUUUAAUGCUCUUACCAGGUUUAUCACUGCUCAUAUUGCCAAGGUCAGACUCCAGUAGCUCCUCACUCACUAUUGUGCUGUAAAUAAUAAAAAUGAUGCCCUCUAAACCAGGUAUUUAAAGGGGCAUCAAAGGGGGAAUGACAAGAAAAAUCUGUGUUCCGAGGUGGCUGACCAAUCCAGCAGGGGAAUCCCAGUCCUGGCCCCAGGGCCAUUCCAGGCUUUCCCGCUAGCCCCACCAGCCACAGCUACAAGAGUGGCACAGAUACGAGAGUACAAGUGUAUAAGAUACCGCCUUUGUUUGUGCUUGGAGCUCAGAUCUUGAGAGAUUACUCUCUUCUGGGCCCACUGGCAUGAAAUAAAUCUCCAAUCCUCCAAGGUCUCCGA